rnacentral:rRNA from 1 species
GUCCACGCCGUAAACGUUGGGCACUAGGUGUGGGGCUCUGUCAACGAGUUCCAUGCCGUCGCUAACGCAUUAAGUGCCCCGCCUGGGGAGUACGGCCGCAAGGCUAAAACUCAAAGGAAUUGACGGGGGCCCGCACAAGCGGCGGAGCAUGUUGCUUAAUUCGAGGCAACGCGAAGAACCUUACCUGGGUUUGACAUGUACGGAAAAGCCGCAGAGAUGCGGUGUCCUUCGGGGUCGUACACAGGUGGUGCAUGGCUGUCGU